GAUGAACGGCUGGCGGCGUGCCUAAUACAUGCAAGUCGAGCGAACCACUUCGGUGGUGAGCGGCGAACGGGUGAGUAACACGUAGGUGAUCUGCCCAUCAGACGGGGACAACGAUUGGAAACGAUCGCUAAUACCGGAUAGGACGAAAGUUUAAAGGUGCUUCUGGCACCGCUGAUGGAUGAGCCUGCGGCGCAUUAGCUAGUUGGUAGGGUAAAGGCCUACCAAGGCGACGAUGCGUAGCCGACCUGAGAGGGUGAACGGCCACACUGGGACUGAGACACGGCCCAGACUCCUACGGGAGGCAGCAGUAGGGAAUCUUCGGCAAUGGGCGAAAGCCUGACCGAGCAACGCCGCGUGAAUGAUGAAGGCCUUCGGGUUGUAAAAUUCUGUUAUAAGGGAAGAACGACUUUAGUAGGAAAUGGCUAGAGUGUGACGGUACCUUAUGAGAAAGCCACGGCUAACUACGUG
rnacentral:rRNA from 1 species